UGGGGAAUCUUGCACAAUGGGCGAAAGCCUGAUGCAGCAACGCCACGUGAGUGAAGAAGGCUCUUGGGUCGUAAAGCUCUUUCGGCUAGGAAGAAGGGAAGAGAGAUUAAUACUCUCACUUUUUGACGGUACUAGAAGAAGAAGCACUGGCUAAUUCCGUGCCAGCAGCCGCGGUAAUACGGAAGGUGCAAGCGUUGUUCGGAAUGACUGGGCGUAAAGAGCACGUAGGCGGGUUUGUAAGUCGGUUGUGAAAGCCCCGGGCUUAACCUGGGAACUGCAGCCGAAACUACAAGCCUUGAAUGUCUGAGGGGUUAGUGGAAUUCCUGGUGUAGGAGUGAAAUCCGUAGAUAUCAGGAGGAACAUCGGAGGCGAAGGCGGCUAACUGGCAGUACAUUGACGCUAAGGUGCGAAAGCGUGGGGAGCAAACAGG
rnacentral:rRNA from 1 species